rnacentral:rRNA from 1 species
GAUGAACGCUGCGGCAUGCGUAACACAUGCAAGUUGAACGACGGUGCCAUGAAGUGGUAACACGGAGUGGUAUACGGAGUAGCGGACGGGUGAGUAAAGCAUGAGAAUCUGUCCUGUCGAGGGGGAUAACGUUCGGAAACGGACCCUAAUACCCCAUAGUCCGAGAGGUUAAAGGCAGCGAUGCGCGGCAGGAGGAGCUCGUGUCCUAUCAGCUGGUUGGUGAGGUAACGGCUCACCAAGGCUUCGACGGGUAGCCGGCCUGAGAGGGUGACCGGCCACACUGGAACUGAGAAACGGUCCAGACUCCUACGGGAGGCAGCAGUGGGGAAUAUUGGGCAAUGGGAGGAAUCCUGACCCAGCGACGCCGCGUGAACGAAGACGGCCUUCGGGUUGUAAAGUUCUUUUAUGUGGGAAGAAUGAAGUGACGGUACCACAUGAAUAAGCCCGGCUAA